AUUUUCGAAAUUUUUGUUCAUACCACCUUCAGAACUCAUUUUGUUGUUUGCUUUGUACUCGUCCAUUUCCUACUCAUUCGAGUUCUUUAAGUUGGUUCGAGGUCGUUAGCCCAUUUAUUCGUCUGAAAUUUUUGAGUCUCAGUACUCGUGGUCGUCUACUUUUGUGGUUGUCUAACUUUUUAAGGUUCACAUAUUUGUGGUUGUCGCUUUGGUGGUUGUCCUACUUUCAAGCUUACUUGCUUGUAAUCAUUUGCUUCGCUGGUUGUUCGGAUUUUUAGGCUCAUGUACUUGUGGUCGUCACUUUGGUGGUCACCUAAAUUCUCAAGGUCACGCGCUCGUGGUCAUCUGCUUCUCUAGUAUGAGAAUGAGUGAGUUCGGGUCCACCAAUAGCCCCUUGUCGUCCAAACGUUGAAAAUUGGAUGACCGUGGGUUACCACGAAGUGUCAGUAUGGAUUCACUUGAUGAUAUGCUGUCCUUAGAGUCAUUACACACAGGUCCAUCUAGAGAUGUGCUAUGAAAUAACUCGUCUGGUUCUGAGUCUUCUUAAUUCAGCUCUGAAGUUGGGUCGUUAGGCUAUGCUUCAGCGAGUGGGGAUGAUGGUACUCCUCCACCCGAGGGGCUUAAUCAUCCCUUUAUCUUACUUGACGAAUGGGAGGUGAAUAAGCAUUGUUCCUUUCUUUCUGACUCUGGCUAGCUAAGUUAAGGUCUGACUUUCAGAUUCCUUAUAAUGUGCCCACUAGGAUAGCUAAAAUUGGCGAGAACUGUUACUCCCAUGAUGGAGAAGGUGUUGGGCUUUGUGAGGCGUCCUUUAUAAGUCGAUUGAGGCUUCCACUGAACAAACUCACUAGGAAGUUUCUUAGGAAGUUAUGUAUAGCUAUAUCAUAACUAGCACCCAACUCUUGGCGUGCUUUUAUGGGGGCUCAAAUCCUUUGGGGGAUUAUAAGUGAGGGCCAAAAGGCCCUUUCCAUGGAUGAAUUUUUAUACUGUUACAAGCCCAUUCAUGCUUCUAAGGCCAAGGGGAUGUAUUACUUCUAGUGUAGAAAAAAGGAGCGUCAGUUAGUCAUUAAGAUUCCCUCAUCCCAUAGGGACUAGAAGGAGAAAACUUUCUUUGUGCUUGGGUUUGAUUGGGUAUAUUGCCCUGAUGAGGUUACUGCAGAACCAGUAGGCUGUACUUUGGGGGUAUUACCCAAUUCUGGUGAGUUGCCUAACUAGCUUACUCGUUCGCUUUACUCUUUUUUAUUUUUUUUAUUUUUUAUAUACUAACUUGCUUUUCAAUUUUCAGCUCAAGUUUGCCAAGGUUAACUGCAAAGUAGCUAGGAAGAAUAGAAAGGGCAACAAGCUUCUUGGUUGCUGAACAUAACUGGAGGGUCUUGGUUACGGUGGACAACCUUCAUAGAUACUGUUCAGGACCUGUGCCCUCUGUAGUGGCCCGUUGUCGCGAGAGCACCUCCUAUAGACAUGUGUUUUAAUUUAGCUCGUUCAUUUCAUUUUUAGCAUAUGCAUUGACAUCUAUUUUGCAGAGAUAGAGGUGGGUGCAGCCAAGAAAAAUAAAAAGGUUCAGGAGGCGGCUACUCUUGCUACAGUAGUAAUUAAGAAGGGGAAGUUUCAACUUCCUAAGCCUGGUGACAAGAGGAAGUUUGGUGUGGACACUUCCUAAAAGCCCUUUGGGACCAUUACUCAUUCGAAGGAGACUCCAAUUUAUCCUUUAGUGAUUCCUAGUCAUCCGGCUUUUGUUGAGCAUCCAAGGGCACUUGGUUGGGGAAAAGGACCUUUCACUCCUCCCAAACCUCCCCUUCUCCUUAAUGAUGAUACUUAUGCUGUGGAGCGAGUCAUGUCUAUUAUCAAGGAGGAGGAUAUAAAUGAUUGUGACAAGUAUGCUCCUACAGCUUUUGGGGAGUCUGGGCUGCAUGACCUUGCCAAGGCAAUGGUGAGGAUGAAGACUCUUGAGCUAAGGCACGGGGACUAUGAGGACCAAGUGGUCAAUCUUCAGAAGUGUGUGAAGGGCAACAAUGAGGUCAUCAAAGAGCUGUAGGGAUCUGUCACCCCAUUAACAGAGGAAGUUGCUCUUUUGGGGGCAAAGUGAAAGAGCUCGAGGAUCAAUGCUCUUCUCAGGAAAACCUUUUCAUUGCUGUAGAGGAGGAGAAAUAUGCCUCUCUAAGGAGUUGGAAAAACUGCGAGGGGAGCCGAGCAAUGUUGAGACAAGUGCCAUUGCUAAGUACUCAUCCUCUCAUGAGUACCUUCAUGAUCUGGGCAUCCAGUAUGUGCAUGGAUUUGAAUACUUCCAAGCUUAAGCUUCUUUAGCCUUUAAGUACUUAGACUUUUCAAAGAUUGAAAUCCGCGCUGAGGAGGGUUCUAUUGCUACUAUGAUAAGUGAUGAUAUUGACCAAGAAGUUGAUGGUGCUGUUGAGGAGGAAAGAGGGGAUGACCAAGCUUGCCAUUAGACUUAGUUUAUUUUCUACACUUUCAUUCUCAUACAUUAGUGUUUGAUACUUUCAUUUGAGGCAAUGGGUUCUUGGUUUAUGGACAUGUAUAACUUUAUUGAAUGUAUAAGUUUCUUGUUAACUUUCUCAA